CUAUGGGGCGCAGCAGGCGAGAAAACUUUGCAAUGUGCGAAAGCACGACAAGGUUAAUCCGAGUGGUUUCUGCUAAAGGAACCUUUUGUCAGUCCUAGAAACACUGAUGAAUAAGGGGUGGGCAAGUUCUGGUGUCAGCCGCCGCGGUAAAACCAGCACCUCAAGUGGUCAGGAUGAUUAUUGGGCCUAAAGCAUCCGUAGCCGGCUCUGUAAGUUUUCGGUUAAAUCUGUACGCUCAACGUACAGGCUGCCGGGAAUACUGCAGAGCUAGGGAGUGGGAGAGGUAGACGGUACUCGGUAGGAAGGGGUAAAAUCCUUUGAUCUAUUGAUGACCACCUGUGGCGAAGGCGGUCUACCAGAACACGUCCGACGGUGAGGGAUGAAAGCUGGGGGAGCAAACCGGAUUAGAUACCCGGGUAGUCCCAGCUGUAAACUAUGCAAACUCAGUGAUGCAUUGGCUUGUGGCCAAUGCAGUGCUGCAGGGAAGCCGUUAAGUUUGCCGCCUGGGAAGUACGUGCGCAAGUAUGAAACUUAAAGGAAUUGGCGGGGGAGCACCACAAGGGGUGAAGCCUGCGGUUCAAUUGGAGUCAACGCCAGAAAUCUUACCCGGAGAGACAGCAGAAUGAAGGUCAAGCUAAAGACUUUACCAGACAAGCUGAGAGGUGGUGCAUGGCCGUCGCCAGCUCGUGCCGUGAGAUGUCCUGUUAAGUCAGGUAACGAGCGAGAUCCCUGCCUCUAGUUGCCACCAUUACUCUCAGGAGUAGUGGGGCGAAUUAGCGGGACCGCCGCAGUUAAUGCGGAGGAAGGAAGGGGCCACGGCAGGUCAGUAUGCCCCGAAACUCUGGGGCCACACGCGGGCUGCAAUGGUAACGACAAUUGGUUUCAAAUCCGAAAGGAUGAGGUAAUCCUCAAACGUUACCACAGUUAUGACUGAGGGCUGCAACUCGCCCUCACGAAUAUGGAAUCCCUAGUAACUGCGUGUCAUUAUCGCGCGGUGAAUACGUCCCUGCUCCUUGCACACACCGCCCGUCGUUUCAUUGAAGUGAGCUUUUAGCGAGGUGACGUCUAAUUGGCGUUAUCGAACUUGAGGUUCGUGACAAGGGAAAAGUCGUAACAAGGUAACC
rnacentral:rRNA from 1 species